rnacentral:rRNA from 1 species
UACGUAGGUGGCAAGCGUUGUCCGGAUUUACUGGGCGUAAAGAGCGCGCAGGCGGUCGUUCAAGUCGCGUGUGAAAGCCCCCGGCUCAACUGGGGAGGGUCACGCGAUACUGAUCGACUCGAAGGCAGGAGAGGGAAGUGGAAUUCCCGGUGUAGUGGUGAAAUGCGUAGAUAUCAGGAGGAACACCGGUGGUGUAGACGGCUUACUGGACCACGACUGGCGCUGAGGCACGAAAGCGUGGGUAGCAAACAGG